GACGAACGCUGGCGGCGUGCUUAACACAUGCAAGUCGAACGGAAAGGCCCUGCUUUUGUGGGGUGCUCGAGUGGCGAACGGGUGAGUAACACGUAGUAACCUGCCCUUGACUUUGGGAUAACUUCAGGAAACUGGGGCUAAUACCGGAUAGGAGCUCCUGCUGCAUGGUGGGGGUUGAAAAGUUUCGGCGGUUGGGGAUGGACUCGCGGCUUAUCAGCUUGUUGGUGGGGUAGUGGCUUACCAAGGCUUUGACGGGUAGCCGGCCUGAGAGGGUGACCGGCCACAUUGGGACUGAGAUACGGCCCAGACUCCUACGGGAGGCAGCAGUGGGGAAUAUUGCACAAUGGGCGGAAGCCUGAUGCAGCAACGCCGCGUGCGGGAUGACGGCCUUCGGGUUGUAAACCGCUUUCGCCUGUGACGAAGCGUGAGUGACGGUAAUGGGUAAAGAAGCACCGGCUAACUACGUG
rnacentral:rRNA from 1 species